UCUUCACGUAUCGUUACUUCGUCUAUCUAUGGCCUCAGCUUUCUUUCCUGGCGUUCCACAAGGGUAAAUGCGUGGGCACGGUGGUAUGUAAGAUGGGGGAACACCGCAACACUUUCAGAGGCUACAUUGCCAUGCUGGUUGUCGUCUUAUAGAGGAAGAGGCAUUGCUACAGAGCUUGUUACUAGAUCUAUCAAGGUGAUGAUGGAAUCAGGUUGUGAAGAGGUANGUGUGUGUAUUUAUGUUACCAUGUUUGGUUGUAUUGCAGUGUUCUGUAGACCU